rnacentral:rRNA from 1 species
UACUAAGUCCAUACCACCUUGAGCAUGCCUAGUCUCAGAAGAUAAGCAGGGUCAGAUCUGGUUAAUACUUGGAUGAGAGAGAGCCUGGGAAACUUAAAAA